rnacentral:tRNA from 1 species
GAAAUAUGUUAUUCAAAAUAAAGCUUCUAACUUUAAUUUUUAGCAGUGAAAAUCUGUUUAUAUUUCU